rnacentral:misc_RNA from 1 species
AUAUUAUGUGAUUAUUGCAUUGGCAAAUAAUGCAUAUUCUUAAUGAUAUUGUUUUUAAUAUAUGAAAUUCCACUCAUAUCUCCAUCAAAUUUGCUGCUGUUUGAAUUGCAGUUUCUUCCAAAAUGAAGAAAGGAAUUCACCUUCAGAUGCAGUGGAUAUCCUAUGUGAUCCAGAGUGGUAGAUUAAUGCACAUUAUGAUGACAAAAAUUCACCAUGCUGGUAAAGUCUACCACUUCAGGACAAGACGACAAAUGGCUGAAAGUUUAGGACAGAUUGCCAAGUUUAGGCGUCGUUAUGGGCAGGAAGAUGCUGAAGACACUGCAAAAUGACUCAUUGUAAGAGCAAAAGUGGAGCUUGGCAUUGGUGAGUUUUCUCAUGUGUUUUAGUUUAAAAGGUCACCCCAAACUAAGCGAGUUCUCUGAAUUGCAAUAAAGUUUAUUGUUUAUGGGUGCUUGAAGUUAUAGAACAAUUUGAUUUUGAUCAGUUUAGUUAAUGGUGAUUUCACUGCCGAAUUAAGAUUAUUACAGGCUGCUCUGUUGCACUUUUAUCCUGGUUGAUUAAAAUUUUGAGCCCUUUCAAAUAUUGUUGGAGUCCAUUUGAUGGACAUCACAUGAUAAGUGAAGCCGUG